CUACGUGCCAGCAGCCGCGGUAAUACGGAGGGUGCGAGCGUUAAUCGGAAUAACUGGGCGUAAAGGGCACGCAGGCGGACUUUUAAGUGAGGUGUGAAAUCCCCGGGCUUAACCUGGGAAUUGCAUUUCAGACUGGGAGUCUAGAGUACUUUAGGGAGGGGUAGAAUUCCACGUGUAGCGGUGAAAUGCGUAGAGAUGUGGAGGAAUACCGAAGGCGAAGGCAGCCCCUUGGGAAUGUACUGACGCUCAUGUGCGAAAGCGUGGGGAGCAAACAGGAUUAGAUACCCUGGUAGUCCACGCUGUAAACGCUGUCGAUUUGGGGAUUGGGCUUUAAGCUUGGUGCCCGAAGCUAACGUGAUAAAUCGACCGCCUGGGGAGUACGGCCGCAAGGCUAAAACUCAAAUGAAUUGACGGGGGCCCGCACAAGCGGUGGAGCAUGUGGUUUAAUUCGAUGCAACGCGAAGAACCUUACCUACUCUUGACAUCCAUGGAAUCUUGUAGAGAUACGGGAGUGC
rnacentral:rRNA from 1 species